AGUGAACGCUGGCGGUAGGCCUAACACAUGCAAGUCGAACGGCAGCACAGUAAGAGCUUGCUCUUACGGGUGGCGAGUGGCGGACGGGUGAGGAAUACAUCGGAAUCUACUUUUUCGUGGGGGAUAACGUAGGGAAACUUACGCUAAUACCGCAUACGGCCUACGGGUGAAAGCAGGGGAUCUUCGGACCUUGCGCGAUUGAAUGAGCCGAUGUCGGAUUAGCUAGUUGGCGGGGUAAAGGCCCACCAAGGCGACGAUCCGUAGCUGGUCUGAGAGGAUGAUCAGCCACACUGGAACUGAGACACGGUCCAGACUCCUACGGGAGGCAGCAGUGGGGAAUAUUGGACAAAGGGCGAAAGCCUGAUCCAGCCAUACCGCGUGGGUGAAGAAGGCCUUCGGGUUGUAAAGCCCUUUUGUUGGGAAAGAAGAGCAGCAGGUUAAUACCCCGCUGUUCUGACGGUACCCAAAGAAUAAGCACCGGCUAACUUCGUG
rnacentral:rRNA from 1 species